rnacentral:rRNA from 1 species
GACGAACGCUGGCGGCGUGCUUAACACAUGCAAGUCAGGGGGCGGGGUAACCCGUCACCGGCGAACGGGUUCGGAACACGUGAGCGACCUGCCCUGGUGUGGGGGAUAGCCGGUCCAACGGCCGGGUAAUACCGCAUACGGCGCCCGCAUGGAAGCGGGAGGCGGAGCUAGCAAGAGGCGCCAGGAGGGGCUCGCGGCCUAUCAACUAGGUGGUGCGGUAACGGCGCACCAAGGCGAAGACGGGUAGCUGGCCUGAGAGGCUGGCCAGGCACAUUGGGACGGGGAGGCGGCCCAGGCUAGGACGGGGGGGGGAAGAUGGGAAAAUGGCGCAAAGGGCGAAAGAGUGACGCAGCGUCGGCGCGGAGAGGAUUAGGCCCGUCGGGGUGUAAACUCCUGUAGGCCGGGACGAAUGCCCCGCACCGGCGGGGUUGACGGUACCGGGUGAGUAAGCACCGGCUAACUCUGUG